CAGUCGCCGCGGUAAUACGGAGGGGGCUAGCGUUGUUCGGAAUUACUGGGCGUAAAGCGCACGUAGGCGGCUUGGUAAGUUAGAGGUGAAAGCCUGGAGCUCAACUCCAGAAUUGCCUUUAAGACUGCCGAGCUAGCAGGUGAGAGAGGUAAGUGGAAUUCCGAGUGUAGAGGUGAAAUGCGUAGAGAUCGGGAGGAACAUCAGUGGCGAAGGCGGCCAUCUGGGACAACACUGACGCUGAGGCACGAAAGCGUGGGGAGCAAACAGGAUUAGAUACCCCGGUAGUCCCUGUCUCUUAUAC
rnacentral:rRNA from 1 species